UACGUAGGGGGCAAGCGUUGUCCGGAAUCAUUGGGCGUAAAGAGCGUGUAGGCGGCCCGAUAAGUCCGCUGUGAAAGUCCAGGGCUCAACCCUGGAAUGCCGGUGGAUACUGUCGGGCUCGAAUCCGGAAGAGGUGAGUGGAAUUCCUGGUGUAGCGGUGGAAUGCGCAGAUAUCAGGAGGAACACCAAUAGCGAAGGCAGCUCGCUGGGACGUUACUGACACUGAGGAGCGAAAGCAUGGGGAGCGAACAGG
rnacentral:rRNA from 1 species